AGAGGAACACACCAUCAUCCAGGCGGAGUUCUAUCUUUUACCAGACAAACGUGGAGAGUUUAUGUUUGACUUUGACGGCGAUGAGAUUUUCCAUGUAGACAUUGAAAAGUCAGAGACCAUCUGGAGACUUGAAGAAUUUGCAAAGUUUGCCAGCUUUGAGGCUCAGGGUGCACUGGCUAAUAUAGCUGUGGACAAAGCUAACCUGGAUGUCAUGAAAGAGCGUUCCAACAACACUCCAGAUGCCAACGUGGCCCCAGAGGUGACUGUACUCUCCAGAAGCCCUGUGAACCUGGGAGAGCCCAACAUCCUCAUCUGUUUCAUUGACAAGUUCUCCCCUCCAGUCGUCAAUGUCACCUGGCUCCGGAAUGGACGGCCUGUCACCGAAGGCGUGUCAGAGACAGUGUUUCUCCCGAGGGACGAUCACCUCUUCCGCAAAUUCCACUUUCUGACCUUCCUGCCCUCCACAGAUGAUUUCUAUGACUGUGAGGUGGAUCACUGGGGUUUGGAGGAGCCUCUGCGGAAGCACUGGGAGUUUGAAGAGAAAACCCUCCUCCCAGAAACUAAAGAGAAUGUCGUGUGUGCUCUUGGGUUGUUUGUGGGUCUGGUGGGCAUCGUUGUGGGGAUUAUCCUCAUCAUGAAGGGUAUUAAAAAACGCAAUGUUGUAGAACGCCGACAAGGAGCCCUGUGAGAUACCUGGAGGCAAUGCCUUCAGUUAAAGUUCAGUGAAGAAACUUGCUGUGACAGCGUCUGAGGCUACCCCUUUCAGUUGUUCAUCUCAGCGGAGACCUCAUCUUCUUCAGUUUCCAGCAUUAAGCCUCAAGAAUGGCGGCAGGUUCUCUGAUCUAAUGUCUGGCUGGGGUUCUCCAUCUCCCACCUGUAUCUAUAUUCUAUCUUCCACCAUUUAUAAUAAUUCCUCUGUGACAAAUAUCACAAAGUUCUUCCUCCGCUGUGGAACUUUCUGAGAAUGGAGUCAUCUUCUCCAAACUGUGUUCUUUUUUUUUUUUUUUUUUUACAAAUAAUAAACACCUUGGGUUGUGACGUGG